GCGGCGGUAGCUCAAUGGCAGAGCCGAAGCUUCCCAAGCUUAAGACGCGGGUUCGAUUCCCGUCUGCCGCUCCA
rnacentral:tRNA from 2 species